rnacentral:sRNA from 1 species
AUGUACCAGUCGUACCCUGCGGUUUUUCCGCGCCGUCCGCACCCCAACCGACGACCGCUUGCUCCGUUUUGUCAGCC